GGCUCUGUGGCGCAAUGGAUAGUGCAUUGGACUUCUAAUUCAAAGGUUGUGGGUUCGAGUCCCACCAGAGUCG